rnacentral:rRNA from 1 species
UACGUAGGGCGCAAGCGUUGUCCGGAAUUAUUGGGCGUAAAGAGCUCGUAGGCGGUUUGUCGCGUCUGCUGUGAAACCUAAGGCUCAACCUUGGGCUUGCAGUGGGGUACGGGCAGACUAGAGUGCGGUAGGGGUGACUGGAAUUCCUGGUGUAGCGGUGGAAUGCGCAGAUAUCAGGGAGGAACACCGAUGGCGAAGGCAGG